rnacentral:tRNA from 2 species
GCGGACGUGGCGGAAUUGGUAGACGCGCAGCCUUGAGGAGGCUGUGGGAGCAAUCCUGUGGAGGUUCAAGUCCUCUCGUCCGCACCA